rnacentral:lncRNA from 1 species
UCACCUUCUAUGCUUGCAAGAAUGUUGAAAUCCCUAGCAACAGCUCCAUUGUUCCAUCUCACAGCAAACACAACAAAUCGGACAGCCACUUCGUUUUCAAUCCUCGACUGAUCAUCACAUAAGAAGAAUGGUUUCUCACCCGAAAUGUAGGUGUAAUUUGGCAUCUGUCGAACACUUAGAUAAAGCCACUUCGUUUUCGAUCCUCGACUGAUCAUCACAUAAGAAGAAAGGUUUCUCACCCGAAAAAUAGGUGUAAUUUGGCAUCUUUCGAACACUGAGAUAAACAAACUUCAUAGGUCCGCAUUUCAG